UUUCCGUAGGUGAACCUACGGAAGGGUCAUUGUAGAGUUCCUUUUCAAAUAGAUGUGAAGUUGUACCAAUACCCAUUGAGAACUAAUCAUUUUUGCUGUCAGCACUUGCGUUGUUUAGAUGGGUUCCCUAUGCUGCCUUCUUCUUUGCUUCAUUUGAAGUGAGAAGUAGAGUAGAAAUAAACGACCGACACGGUUUGUGCCAAGGAUAGUUAUUGUUGAGGUACAUUGCCAUCCUUUUGAUGUCUUUGUGUUACUCUACGAGCAUAAACGUCUGAGCAUAUACGUUUGAAUGACUCCUGGCAAUGGAUAACUUAGCUCUC
rnacentral:misc_RNA from 1 species